rnacentral:misc_RNA from 1 species
UUUGGUUUGUUACGUGUGGUUGGCUGCGGCGUUUGCAACAACUUCCAUGCUCUCAGACCUCUUCAGUUGUGCGGCAAGGCNUGUAUCGCCUUGAGCGUAUCGUGGGUUUUCUGUGUUGGCUACCUAAUCGACGGUAUCGUUUGGAUUGAUCAAAGUGUGAUUUCGUCUUCCGUCGCGUUUGCGGCGUGAGGUGAACCUUGACGCGGUCUCUUUGAUCCAUCUCGUCGAAGCANAUGCUUUGACGUUGUGGCACAUUGGGCAUUGCUUGGUCUCUUGUGUACGGAACACGUAGCGGGCAUGGAUCUAACGAUUCUUGUUUGCCCUCAUAUUAGCGUAACGCUUCUCAAACACGACUUGCAUCGCGUUUUAG